GAGUUUAGUUUGAUCCUGGCUCAGGACGAACGCUGGCGGCGUGCUUUACACAUGCAAGUCGAGCGAUGAGAUCCCUUCGGGGAAGGAUUAGCGGCGAACGGGUGAGGAACACGUGAGGAAUCUGCCUUCAACACUGGGAUAACUCCGGGAAACCGGGGCUAAUACCGGAUACGAGACCUGCAGGCAUCUGCGGGUCUGGAAAGUUUUUCGGUUGAAGAUGAUCUCGCGGCCUAUCAGCUUGUUGGUGAGGUAAUGGCUCACCAAGGCGACGACGGGUAGCCGGCCUGAGAGGGCGACCGGCCACACUGGGACUGAGACACGGCCCAGACUCCUACGGGAGGCAGCAGUGGGGAAUAUUGGGCAAUGGAGGAAACUCUGACCCAGCGACGCCGCGUGCGGGAUGAAGGCCUUCGGGUUGUAAACCGCUUUCAGCAGGGAAGAAGCGAAAGUGACGGUACCUGCAGAAGAAGCACCGGCUAACUAUGUGCCAGCAGCCGCGGUAAUACAUAGGGUGCAAGCGUUGUCCGGAAUUAUUGGGCGUAAAGAGCUCGUAGGUGGUUCGUCACGUCGGAUGUGAAACUCUGGGGCUUAACCCCAGACCUGCAUUCGAUACGGGCGAGCUUGAGUAUGGUAGGGGAGUCUGGAAUUCCUGGUGUAGCGGUGGAAUGCGCAGAUAUCAGGAGGAACACCAAUGGCGAAGGCAGGACUCUGGGCCAUUACUGACACUGAGGAGCGAAAGCGUGGGGAGCGAACAGGAUUAGAUACCCUGGUAGUCCACGCCGUAAACGGUGGGCACUAGUUGUGGGGACCUUCCACGGUCUCUGCGACGCAGCUAACGCAUUAAGUGCCCCGCCUGGGGAGUACGAUCGCAAGAUUAAAACUCAAAGGAAUUGACGGGGCCCCGCACAAGCAGCGGAGCAUGCGGCUUAAUUCGACGCAACGCGAAGAACCUUACCAAGGCUUGACAUAUACAGGAAUAUGGCAGAGAUGUCAUAGCCGCAAGGUCUGUAUACAGGUGGUGCAUGGUUGUCGUCAGCUCGUGUCGUGAGAUGUUGGGUUAAGUCCCGCAACGAGCGCAACCCAA
rnacentral:rRNA from 1 species